rnacentral:rRNA from 1 species
UACGUAGGGGGCAAGCGUUAUCCGGAUUUACUGGGUGUAAAGGGAGCGUAGACGGCAAUGCAAGUCUGGAGUGAAAGGCGGGGGCCCAACCCCCGGACUGCUCUGGAAACUGUAUAGCGGGAGUGCAGGAGAGGUAAGUGGAAUUCCUAGUGUAGCGGUGAAAUGCGUAGAUAUUAGGAGGAACACCAGUGGCGAAGGCGGCUUACUGGACUGUAACUGACGUAGAGGCUCGAAAGCGUGGGGAGCAAACAGG